UCCGUAGAAAGAGAAGGAACGGUAGUUGUCUUCUUUCCAGAACAAUCUUCUUACCACUUUCUCGAACCUCUCUCUCCUACGAAUAUGAGUAGCCGAUGGAAUCGUACGAUCUACGUUGGGAAUCUCCCUGGAGAUAUUCGCAUGCGUGAGGUUGAAGAUCUCUUCUGCAAGUACGGACCGAUUGUGGACAUCGACUUGAAGAUUCCACCUAGACCUCCUGGUUAUGCCUUUGUCGAGUUCGAAGAUCCUCGUGAUGCAGACGAUGCAAUCUAUGGACGUGAUGGAUGUGACUUUGAUGGCUGUCGACUAAGGGUUGAGAUUGCACAUGGUGGUCGUAGAGGUUCUUCAUCAGUUGAUAGGUACAGCAGCAGCUACAGUGGCAGCCGUGCUCCUUCAAGACGCUCCGACUUUCGUGUUCUUGUGACGGGAUUACCGCCAUCUGCUUCGUGGCAGGACCUUAAGGAUCACAUGCGCAAAGCUGGAGAUGUCUGUUUUUCUGAAGUUUUUCGUGACCGUGGAGGCAUGUCUGGGGUUGUUGAUUAUAGCAACUAUGAUGAUAUGAAGUAUGCGUUAAGGAAGCUUGAUGACUCUGAGUUUCGUAAUGCUUUUUCUAGAGCUUACAUACGGGUGAGAGAAUAUGAGUCGAGGAGUGUGAGUCGCAGCCCAGGUUAUUCUAGAAGCUAUAGAAGCAGGAGCCGGAGCCGGAGCCGUGGUCGAAGCUAUAGCUAUAGUAGCAGGAGCAGGAGUGUGUCACCUGCUAGAUCCGUCUCCCCGCGUUCACGGUCCCUUACUCGCUCUCUUUCGCCACAUAGCUCUGUCUCAAGAUCUGGCUCACUGCUGCGAGCUGGGGAUUGGAUCUUAGGGACUUGACCGGUCAUCUAGAUGGAUUGUUGGACUGGAUUUACAAAGCUGGAUUAGCAUGAACUUGAACUUCUGUUUUGGUCUGGUCUGGUCUGGUCUGGUACUCAGCCCGUAUCAGCUGUAGGAUCUGAUCGCAGCGUUUUGGACUAUGUUUCCUCUGAUUCCCAAUAUAUAAUCGAUAUGAAAAUACUGGUUUCUAUGCUGUGUUCUUUUCUAGGCCAGAACUUAAGUCCGGAGACCUGUUGGAGAUGGUCAGUAAAUUGCUUUCUGACCUGACACUUACAUGGGGUUAUUUUUUGCCUUGGUGCAGGUCCCGAUCAAGAUCAAGAUCAAGAUCAAGAUCAGAUUCUCCUGUUUCACCUGUCAGAUCUGAUUAAAAAAGGAAACUGGUGAUUGGCUCAUCCGAACCAGUCUCAUGCUUCUCAGGCUCCACUGCCAAUAGAACUGAUUUGGAUAUUGGUUUAUUCUACUGGUCUUCUCAUAUGGGACGACCAAUAUGUCUAUCUAGUUUUAGUUGUGAACAUGGAAUUGGUCUGUUAUUGUGUCAUUUAUAAGCCAGAAACUCUGUCUCGGCUGCAUAUUAAAGUUCAUCAGACGUUGUGUUGGGUGUGUUUUUUCAGAUUUCUCCAGUCGUAUACAUUACAACUACCGGAACUGUGGUGUCUUUUAUGAUACACUUUUUAACUAAUUUUGUAGCCUUCAAAUUUGCUUU